GACGAACGCUGGCGGCGUGCUUAACACAUGCAAGUCGAACGGUGAAGCGCCUUCCUUUUUGGUGGGUGUGGAUGAGUGGCGAACGGGUGAGUAACACGUGCGUAACCUGCCCCCUUCUUCUGGAUAACCGCAUGAAAGUGUGGCUAAUACGGGAUCUUCUGGGUCUGUCGCAUGAUGGGUCUGGGUAAGAUAUUGUUUCGGUGGGGGAUGGGCGCGCGGCGUAUCAGCUUGUUGGUGGGGUGAUGGCCUACCAAGGCGGUGACGGGUAGCCGGCCUGGGAGGGUGGACGGUCUGACUGGGACUGAGACACGGUCCAGACUGCGAUGCGGGGCAGCAGGGGGGGAGAGGGAACAGUGGGCGAAAGCCUGAUGCAGCGAGGCGGCGGGAGCGGUGGCGGCGCGCGGGGUGUGAACCUCUUUCGCUAGUGAAGCAGGCCUGCCUCGUUUGUGGGUGGGUUGACGGUAGUUGGAUAAGAAGCGCCGGCUAACUACGUG
rnacentral:rRNA from 1 species